rnacentral:rRNA from 1 species
AUUGAACGCUGGCGGCAUGCUUUACACAUGCCAGUCGAACGGUAACAGGCCUUCGGGUGCCGACGAGUGGCGAACGGGUGAGUAAUGCAUCGGAACGUACCCAGAGGUGGGGGAUAACGCAGCGAAAGCUGUGCUAAUACCGCAUGUGAUCUGAGGAUGAAAGCGGGGGACCGAGCAGCAAUGUUUGGCCUCGCGCCUUUGGAGCGGCCGAUGUCGGAUUAGCUAGUUGGUGGGGUAAAGGCCUACCAAGGCGACGAUCCGUAGCUGGUCUGAGAGGACGACCAGCCACACUGGGACUGAGACACGGCCCAGACUCCUACGGGAGGCAGCAGUGGGGAAUUUUGGACAAUGGGCGCAAGCCUGAUCCAGCAAUGCCGCGUGCGGGAAGAAGGCCUUCGGGUUGUAAACCGCUUUUGGCAGGAACGAAACGGUGUCCGCUAAUACCGGGCGCUAAUGACGGUACCUGCAGAAUAAGCACCGGCUAACUACGUG